GGAUGAACGCUAGCGACAGGCCUAACACAUGCAAGUCGAGGGGCAGCGGAGAGGUAGCAAUACCUCUGUCGGCGACCGGCGCACGGGUGAGUAACACGUAUGCAAUCCACCUGUAACAGGGGGAUAACCCGGAGAAAUCCGGACUAAUACCCCAUAAUAUGGGCGCUCCGCAUGGAGGGCUCAUUAAAGAAAGCAAUUUUGGUUACAGACGAGCAUGCGCUCCAUUAGCCAGUUGGCGGGGUAACGGCCCACCAAAGCGACGAUGGAUAGGGGUUCUGAGAGGAAGGUCCCCCACAUUGGAACUGAGACACGGUCCAA
rnacentral:rRNA from 1 species